rnacentral:rRNA from 1 species
UACGUAGGGUGCGAGCGUUAAUCGGAAUUACUGGGCGUAAAGGGUGCGUAGGCGGUUCGUCGUGUCUGGUGUGAAAUCCCCGGGCUCAACCUGGGAAUGGCAUUGGAAACUGGCGGACUAGAGUGUGGCAGAGGGAGGUGGAAUUCCGCGUGUAGCAGUGAAAUGCGUAGAGAUGCGGAGGAACACCGAUGGCGAAGGCAGCCUCCUGGGCUAACACUGACGCUGAGGCACGAAAGCGUGGGGAGCAAAC